rnacentral:misc_RNA from 1 species
CAGAGUUGCAAACUCCCUACCACCAUCGUGAACAUACCCGACAUGUUGCUUCGGCGGGAUCAGCCCGCUCCCGGUAACCGGGGCCGGCCCGACGCCCCGAGGUACCCUAAACUCUUGUUUCUAUAUGUAACUCUCUGAGUAACCUUUACUGAAUAAUCA